AUGUAAAGGGCAAACCAAUACGAAAGUUUGGGACGCAAAGUCACGGAUCUAAUGUGCGAAACAAUGAUGGCCGGACUGCCAA
rnacentral:ncRNA from 1 species